CCUACGGGGGCAGCAGUGGGGAAUUUUGGACAAUGGACGCAAGUCUGAUCCAGCCAUGCCGCGUGUGGGAAGAAGGCCUUCGGGUUGUAAACCACUUUUGUCAGGGAAGAAACGGCUCGGGUUAAUACCUUGGGCUAAUGACGGUACCUGAAGAAUAAGCACCGGCUAACUACGUGCCAGCAGCCGCGGUAAUACGUAGGGUGCAAGCGUUAAUCGGAAUUACUGGGCGUAAAGCGUGCGCAGGCGGUUAUGCAAGACAGAUGUGAAAUCCCCGGGCUCAACCUGGGAACUGCAUUUGUGACUGCACGGCUAGAGUACGGUAGAGGGGGAUGGAAUUCCGCGUGUAGCAGUGAAAUGCGUAGAUAUGCGGAGGAACACCGAUGGCGAAGGCAAUCCCCUGGACCUGUACUGACGCUCAUGCACGAAAGCGUGGGGAGCAAACAGGAUUAGAUACCCUGGUAGUCCACGCCCUAAACGAUGUCAACUGGUUGUUGGGAGGGUUUCUUCUCAGUAACGUAGCUAACGCGUGAAGUUGACCGCCUGGGGAGUACGGCCGCAAGGUUGAAACUUCAAAGGAAUUGACGGCNGNGNGNGCGAGACGACGACGAGGAGAGG
rnacentral:rRNA from 1 species